rnacentral:rRNA from 1 species
UACGUAGGGGGCUAGCGUUAUCCGGAAUUACUGGGCGUAAAGGGCGUGUAGGCGGUAGAUUAAGUCAGGUGUGAAAGUCCACGGCUCAACCGUGGAAUUGCAUUUGAAACUGGUUUACUUGAGUGCAGGAGAGGAGAGCGGAAUUCCUAGUGUAGCGGUGAAAUGCGUAGAUAUUAGGAAGAACACCAGUGGCGAAGGCGGCUCUCUGGACUGUAACUGACGCUGAGAAGCGAAAGCGUGGGUAGCGAACAGGAUUAGAUACCCCGGUAGU